rnacentral:rRNA from 1 species
AAGACAUGCGCAGGCGGUUAUGUAAGACAGAUGUGAAAUCCCCGGGCUCAACCUGGGAACUGCAUUAGUGACUGCAUAGCUGGAGUACGGCAGAGGGGGAUGGAAUUCCGCGUGUAGCAGUGAAAUGCGUAGAUAUGCGGAGGAACACCGAUGGCGAAGGCAAUCCCCUGGCCCUGUACUGACGCUCAUGCACGAAAGCGUGGGGAGCAAACAGGAUUAGAUACCCCUGU